rnacentral:rRNA from 1 species
UACGUAGGGGGCAAGCGUUGUCCGGAUUUACUGGGCGUAAAGAGCGCGUAGGCGGAGCGUUAAGCGUGGCCUGAAAGCCCCCGGCUCAACCGGGGAAGGCGGCUGCGAACUGGCGUUCUUGAGGGCGAUAGAGGGGGGCGGAAUUCCUGGUGUAGCGGUGAAAUGCGUAGAGAUCAGGAGGAACACCCGUGGCGAAGGCGGCCCCCUGGGUCGACCCUGACGCUGAGGCGCGAAAGCGUGGGGAGCGAACGGG